rnacentral:hammerhead_ribozyme from 1 species
AUUGAGUUGGCGAGUCCCAAAUAGGACGAAAUAUACGUCCUUGAU